GACGAACGCUGGCGGCGUGCCUAAUACAUGCAAGUCGAGCGAGCUUGCCUAGAUGAAUUUGGUGCUUGCACCAAAUGAAACUAGAUACAAGCGAGCGGCGGACGGGUGAGUAACACGUGGGUAACCUGCCCAAGAGACUGGGAUAACACCUGGAAACAGAUGCUAAUACCGGAUAACAACACUAGACGCAUGUCUAGAGUUUAAAAGAUGGUUCUGCUAUCACUCUUGGAUGGACCUGCGGUGCAUUAGCUAGUUGGUAAGGUAACGGCUUACCAAGGCAAUGAUGCAUAGCCGAGUUGAGAGACUGAUCGGCCACAUUGGGACUGAGACACGGCCCAAACUCCUACGGGAGGCAGCAGUAGGGAAUCUUCCACAAUGGACGCAAGUCUGAUGGAGCAACGCCGCGUGAGUGAAGAAGGGUUUCGGCUCGUAAAGCUCUGUUGGUAGUGAAGAAAGAUAGAGGUAGUAACUGGCCUUUAUUUGACGGUAAUUACUUAGAAAGUCACGGCUAACUACGUGCCAGCAGCCGCGGUAAUACGUAGGUGGCAAGCGUUGUCCGGAUUUAUUGGGCGUAAAGCGAGUGCAGGCGGUUCAAUAAGUCUGAUGUGAAAGCCUUCGGCUCAACCGGAGAAUUGCAUCAGAAACUGUUGAACUUGAGUGCAGAAGAGGAGAGUGGAACUCCAUGUGUAGCGGUGGAAUGCGUAGAUAUAUGGAAGAACACCAGUGGCGAAGGCGGCUCUCUGGUCUGCAACUGACGCUGAGGCUCGAAAGCAUGGGUGGCGAACAGG
rnacentral:rRNA from 1 species